AUACGGAGGGUGCAAGCGUUAUUCGGAAUCACUGGGCGUAAAGGACGCGUAGGCGGGUUUGUAAGUCAGGUGUGAAAUCCUACAGCUUAACUGUAGAACUGCACUUGAAACUACAGACCUAGAGUAUGGGAGGGGCAGAUGGAAUUAGUGGUGUAGGGGUAAAAUCCGUAGAUAUCACUAGGAAUACCGAAAGCGAAGGCGAUCUGCUGGAACAUAACUGACGCUAAGGCGUGAAAGCGUGGGGAGCAAACAGGAUUAGAAACCCUGUAGUCC
rnacentral:rRNA from 1 species